CUACUACUCCCUCCGUCCCAUAAUUCUUGUCAAAAUAUUACAUGUAUCUAGACGCUUUUUAGGAAUAGAUACAUCCAUUUUGGGGCAAAUUUGAGACAAGAAUUAUGGGACGGAGGGAGUAGUAC
rnacentral:pre_miRNA from 1 species